ensembl:rRNA 5S_rRNA 5S ribosomal RNA
GCUUACGGCCACACCUCCCUGAGCACGCCCAAUUUCGUCUGAUCUCGGAAGCUAAGUAGGGUCGGGCCCGGUUAGUACUUGGAUGGGAGACCGCCUGGGAAUACCAGGUGCUCUAAGCC